rnacentral:rRNA from 1 species
AGCAGCCGCGGUAAUUCCAGCUCCAAUAGCGUAUAUUAAAGUUGUUGCAGUUAAAAAGCUCGUAGUUGAAUUUCGGGAUUCAUCCGUUGGUCGGGCUUCACGGUCCGUACUGGUGUGAUGGGUUCCUACCUUCUGAAUAACCGGCAUGCCAUUAAUUUGGUGCGCCGGGGAAGCAGAACUAUUACCUUGAAAAAAUUAGAGUGCUUAAAGCAGGCAAGUGCCUGAAUAGGUCAGCAUGGAAUAAUAAAAUAGGACGGCAUGGUUCUAUUUUGUGGUUUCUAGGAUCACCGUAAUGAUUAAUAGGGAUAGUUGGGGGCA